rnacentral:lncRNA from 1 species
CUAUCACCUACCCUUAGUAUGCAUAAUUCACUCUGAUAUCCUAUUCUAUUUCAGUCUUUGUGUUCUGUUGAAAUAAUUUUUUUAAAAACUUAAUUCCUCUCCCACAGUGUUGGUUUCAGGUUGUUGUUAGCAGAACUCUGGAGCCAUACUGCCUUAACCAACCCAAUUUUCCUGGUGUCCUGCUGUUUCCCGGGGCUCUUGGCAUUGUGCUUUCAGGGGCUGCCUCAGAUUGUGCAAUGAAGUGAAGUGGAAAUUUUAAAACUUUUAUUCCACCCAUUCUGUCAUCUGCCGUCUAGGCAGGCUACAAACCUACCCAACAUCCCUGCUGCUAACCCCCUCCAACUGGCACUGCAAGUGUCAAACACAAGUACCAGCUCAACACAGUCUUCAGUCUCACCAUGGGCUUUCUCUGUUUUGUUACGUAGAUUUUGUUGCUGAUACUGUUUUUUAACUUUCCGUUUCCAUUCUGUAAUUUUCCAGGUUUGAUUUGGGAAGCAGAACACAGCAGCCCAAAUUUGUUGUAAUGUUGGCGGCUACAGGAAUGGGUAUGAAGUGGGUUCUCUUCCACUGAUCUUGGUCACGUACUCCAAGACUUUCUUCUUGCUGGUUUCAGCAUGGGCCCUUGGACCCCACAGGAACGCAUAGCAUGCAGGAUCACUUCUGGGCACCUGCCAGUACUCCAGUGCUCCUCUAGGGCCUCCUUGGGUUCCUGUCCUCCUGGUCAGCCUGUCCCCUGAGAAUCUGAAGAGAAGUGAGACAGCUCCUGAGGUUACAGCCAGCCAGCAGAGGCCAAGGCUCCAACACUGAUGGUAGGGCCGGUGGGGCUGGGCGCUCUGGAGUCCCAUCCAUUAUGGGUGGGUGGGACCCUUGGUAUACAUUCAGGGUGAACACCUCAACUUGACUGCUGACACUGCCUGGGUCUCCUCUGCUCUGUGACUUGAGGACACUGACUCAGACUAAAGCCUCACCUCCAAGUUCCUGGAGCUCCUAGAAGAGGAAUCAAGGGGCCCCCAGGGUGCAGGCUGCAAGCACUGCCUCAGUCCCCCAGCACUGUCAGGAGGGUGGGCUGGACUCUGUCAGUUCCCCCACUCAUUUGCAUAGAUGGUCCCUUCUAUGCUCACCCAGGGCCUUCACAUUUCUCCUAGCAGGGCCUGAAUCCUGCCCCUUUGCUGGCCUGAGAAAAUCUCAGAU